CCCUCUUGCUUCUGGCAGUUGCAGCCUCACCUCUCAAAGUCAGGGUUCCUACAGCUGGGCUUCCCCCAAUGAUCCAAGGGUGUUUUAGGUGUGUGCAUGUGUGUGUGUGCACACAUACAGGAGAAAGGUGGGCUUAGAACCUGAUUAGAGAACUCCAGUUAAAACUAGCAUUUUGCACUGAGCACUAGAAUAAGCUGGAAACCAGUGGAACUUAUCCAAAAGUGAUGCAAUAUGCUUUUUGCAGUUAGCACCUGUUAAGCAAGCAGCUACAUUGUCAUCACCCUCAAUUUCAAGCACUCAUCAAAGGUAGCCUUAUAUAAACUGUGGAUCUCCCCCCCCAUCCAUUGAUUUAAAUUAAAUUAAUUUAAUUUAGACAAAUGUAUGGAGAGGGGAGCAGUAGAAACAUUUUUUGCUUGACUCCCACUUCUGUAGUACCAAGCUUGUGCCUGACAGAUGGCUCUUGUUGUGAAUCUGUGUACUUAUCCCCAGUGGUCAGCUGGGAACUGGUAGCCCAACAGAAGCAUUGCACUGCAUUGUAUAGUAAUUUCUGAAUAGGAAUCAGCAGUGUAAUGUGGCUGUAAAAAAAGGCAAGGGCAAUUUUAGACUGUAUAAGCAGAAAUGUAACUUUCAAAUCACAGAAAAUAAAAACUCCACUUCAUUUUGCAUAGGUCAGAUCCCACCUCAAGUAUUUAUAGUCUAGUUCAUGGGCAAGGCAUUUAAGAAAAACGGGCAAAUCAGAACGAGUUUGGUGGAGAAGAGCAACAAGGAUCAGACCAAUAUCCGAACUCCAUGAACAGAGGUGGAAAUUGCCCCUUUCAGCUUAACUUUUACAAUUUUAAAGAUUUACUUGCAGCUGCCUUUCUUUGCAGAUCAUCUUGUAACAGCAGAAAUUUAAGCUGGAUCUGUGGGAUUCUUAAAGACAGAGAAAUAGAAGAUAAGAUGACAACAUCUGGAUGAAGGGAUUGCACAUUUCACAUGGAAACUCAUAAAAUCUCAUCAUGGGAGCUGUGGCGAUUGAUGAUAGUCCACCUGGAGUUAAAGCCCCAGAUGGCGGCUGGGGCUGGGCUGUUCUCUUUGGGUGCUUUGUCAUCACUGGAUUCUCCUAUGCCUUUCCAAAGGCCAUGAGUGUCUUCUUCAAGGAACUUAUCCGGGAGUUUCAUAUUGGAUAUAGUGACACAGCAUGGAUCUCCUCUAUUUUGCUGGCUAUGCUUUAUGGAACAGGUCCCCUCUGCAGCAUGUGUGUCAAUCGGUUUGGCUGCCGUCCUGUAAUGCUGGCUGGAGGUCUCCUUGCAUCAGCAGGGAUGAUUGUUGCUUCCUUUUCCACUAAUAUAAUUCAGGUCUAUCUUACUGUUGGUGUCCUUACUGGAUUGGGACUGGCCCUGAACUUCCAGCCAUCCCUUAUCAUGCUAAAUCGCUACUUUAGCAAAAAGCGGCCUUUGGCCAAUGGGUUGGCUGCAGCUGGAAGUCCUGUGUUUCUCUGUGCUCUUUCCCCCCUGGGACAAGUACUGCAGCAUGAAUAUGGAUGGCGAGGGGGAUUUCUUAUUUUGGGAGGAUUGCUUUUGAACUGCUGUGUUUGUGGAGCUCUGAUGAGACCUUUGGAAAGUCCAAAAAAACUGGAAGCUUCCAAAACAACUGAGAAACAACAGAAGAAAAAGCUAUUGGAUUUCACCGUCUUCAAAGAUUCUGGUUUUGUAAUCUAUACGGUGGCUGCAUCCAUCAUGGUGCUAGGCUUAUUUGUGCCUCCAGUUUUUGUAGUGAGCUACGCUAAGGAUCUGAAGUAUGAGGACACCAAAUCAGCUUUUCUUCUGACAAUUCUUGGCUUUGUGGAUAUUUUUGCUCGGCCUCUUUGUGGAGUAGUGGCUGGCUUGAAGUGGGUUAGGCCCCGCUGUGUCUACCUCUUUAGUUUUGCUAUGUUUUUUAAUGGUUUCACUGAUCUCUUGGGCUCCUUGUCCCAUAAUUAUGGUGGUCUGGUGGUCUUCUGCAUAUUCUUUGGCAUGUCCUAUGGAAUGGUUGGUGCCCUUCAGUUUGAAGUUCUCAUGGCUAUUGUUGGUACACAGAAGUUUUCCAGUGCCAUUGGUUUAGUUCUUUUGGCUGAGGCCAUGGCUGUUCUAAUUGGCCCACCUUCAGCAGGCAAACUCCUGGAUGCAACUCACAAGUAUAUGUAUGUUUUUAUUUUGGCUGGUGUUGAAGUCUUAACCUCCUCUGUGGUGCUGACUUUAGGAAAUGUCUUCUGUAUCAAAAGACCUGUGCAAACACACUCAAAAGAAGAUAAUGCUGAAAGAGAAGGGUUAAAUCAACUACCAGGAGAAUCCAAAGUGGACUCUAUUGAAGUGGAACACUUUCUGAAAGAUGAAAAAAAUGGGCAAGUGGUAACCAACCCAGAAACAUGUGUGUGAGUGUAACAGAGAUGAAUGCCAAAUAUUUAGGGAGAGAUUCAGACACUUUUAAUACUUGUAUUUAUUUUAGUAGUAGGCUUUGCUUAGGAUUUGGCCAUUUUGUUUGGGAACUAGAGGUCAACCAGCUCAUGAAAUCACUUCCUGGAAGCUGACUUUGUUAGAAAGUUUUUCUCCCUGUUUUAAAAGAAGGAUAGAUCUUCAAGUUAAUUUGUUUGGGCAUAACUACUGCUGUAAACUAACAAAUGGCCUUCUAAACACAUAUAGGGAUCCUGUUUUGCACUACCAGAAAACAUUCUCUUGGAUGAAAGUAUUUUAUCUAGAAGAAUGCAUAAAUAUUCCUGUAAUACAGAUGACAUACUUAUUUUUUUGUAUUUAUAGAAUCUCAAAGUAUCUUCUGUGACUGGGUCUGAUUUAAAGGGAAUAGCUUACCAAUGGAUCAGUUGGCUCAGCCCUAAUCUAAUCAUAUAUGAUGUUGAAUUUUCAAUAACUUUUGUUUUGCCAAUGUGUUUUUUUAUAUUGUUUUCAUCAUCCUUUUAUUUUAAAGAUUAUACAUACAGAAGAAAGUCAUUGUGAUGCGUCCUGGGUAAAAUAUUAACAGCUAUUCCCAAAUGGAGUCAAAUCAGAAUGAAUUAUUAGUUCUCAUGGGAAAAUAGACUGUAGAGCUAUCCCAGCCUCUCUAUUGCCUAUUGCUCUUCAGCUUUAACUCCAGGCUUUUAUAAACAUGCCUUACAUUAAUGAUUUGCAAAACUUCCUGUGACACAGGAAGCAGUCCCAGAAACAGCAGAUAGCUAUGGACUGCUUAUGUUAGCCUCCAACAUUUGUCUAGAGGCAGGGGGGGAUAUAUCCUUUUGUCUAGCCAGGAUUUUUACAAAGUAGAAAAACCUUUUCUAAACAUUUUAUCAUGCCCAUUAUAUAAACCACAAGGGAUUAAUGGAGUUGGCAGCUUUGAUGACUUAAAGGAAAUAAAGUAGGCGAAAGGAAGACUGUUACCCAAAGUCUUCUAAGAAACAUCCACACUACAACUUAUGUCUUCUGUUUGUAUGACUCAGAGCAGCUGGUGAUAUGACUUGAGGCAAUCAGAUAGCAGAACUGACUCUUUGGGAGUCGUGGAAGCUGGCCCUACAGUGUUGCAUUUGGGGCCAGGAGUGGCUGAGGUUUCUCCACAAGCAGAGAAAAUAAGUUUGACUCAUGAUAUCCCACUACUCUGAAGGACACCAGUGGAAGCAAAACUGGUAUUCACAGUCCAUGUUAAUUAAAUGUGCUGAUUAUUUCUCACAAUGAAGAUGGACUUUUCCUGCUCUUUUGAACAGCUUUUUAAAGUAGUCUGGUGACUCCAAAGGCUAACUGAGGUAUUCCAAAGCUAAGCUGCAAAAUUCCACAUGCUCCCUAGAAGGCUCUUAGGUAUCUCUUUGUACCUCUUUACUACCAUCCAGUGGCUAUUUGAGUCUUUCAAAAGAAUUUCCAGAGUAUAGUAGGUUCUUAGUCCUAAAUUGAUAACUUUCUCUAGAUAAAGUUGUUUAGUGAGUUUAUGUGUUACUUGAGCCAUGUACUGGACCUCAUUUAUUGUCAGAUGCCAAUAUAAAAUCCCUGCCAUGGUUUAGAUAAGGGUUAGGGGUGUUCCAGACAUGCAAGUUGGACUGCUUGGCCAACCCAGUAUUAUGCUAAAUAGGCAGGUAUAGCAACUAGGCAAAAGUAGUCUUGCCCUAUCUCCUGCAACAGAAUUGGGUAUUUCCAGCCCCACAGCAGUUUUUGAUUCCAACUUUUUUCAACCCCAAUCAAUAUGGCCACAAAAUAGCUAGUCCCAUUAUCUGGAGAACAGCAUGUUGCCCACCAUAUCUGCCUAUGAUAUGCAUGUGAGAGAAUCCAUGCUCUGAGGAGAAAUUUGUUUACAACAGUCCAACCAACAGUGUGACCUUCAAAAGUACUGCAAUUAUGACUCCCAGAAUUCUGAGUCAACACACCCAAUUCUGGAAACUAUAAUCUCAGCACAACUGGAGGGAACCACAUUAGGAAAGGCUGGUUUACAAGUUCACUUCAUGUUUACCUGGGAGCACUGGAAAUCAUUAGCGGUCAAAUUUUGUCAGUUUCUGUACUUGCAGGCAAUUUGUGCACAAUAAUUCCUCUUGCUAUAUUUCUUUUUAACAUGGAUCUCAAAUCCAAAUUCUUAUUCUCUGUGUGGUUGUCAAAGAUAAAUUAUUUUUCUGAAAAGUAUUUAAAUAAUGCUAAUAUACAAAGCAGAAAAUACUGACAGUAUUUUCUAACCAAUUUCUGCAAUAAUAUUUAACCCAAAGAUUAAAUCAGCUUACUAUCUCAUACUAUUAAUUUCGAUAGAAACUUCAAUUAUUUUGUAUUUACAGAUAGUCCUCGACUUACAACCACAA